UACAGCUGUCUCGGGAACCUGAUUUCCCUUCUCCAAAUGCAGCCGCGCCCUUUGCUUGAGUGCUGAGCAAUUGUAUCCCUGGGGACUCAAAUUGACCAGAUGCCCAGGAAAAAAAAUGUCUCUCCCCUCUGUCGUUGCCCUGUCUUUAAUAAGCCCUAAGUUCAUUGGCAAGCCCAAGUUCUGUGAUGAGGGCUGCAUGGGGGAUUCAGAGCCUAGACAUAGGAAACACCCCCCAUUCUGGGGCUAAAUAUCAUUUAUGAGCAAUGCAGGCCAGGGUCCCACAGCAGCUAAACCCAUCCUCCUCUGUGAGCUAGCCAUCCCAGCACCACAGCGGCAAGGAUGGGAUGGAUCAGUGGGAAAGCAUAGCCUCCAUGGUCAGUGAUGCCUCUGACGAGGAAUCUCCGAUAAAGCUCAGCUAGCAGCCUCCAGGGAAGCCUCUGAGAAACUGCUCAUCAGAUUUAGAACUCUGGAGUCUGGACCUCCAACCAAAUGUUCCCUAAAAAUUCAGAUCCCAUCUCCUCCACCCUUCCCCACGUAGGCCACCAGGUGGCACCAGCAACAGGGAUUUCAAAACCAAAACUAAACUGGGAAGUCAGAAUUUUUUUGUUUAUGCAAAUGGUUCAUUCCCUACAACAUUCCUCCGGGAAUGGUCACCCACCCCUCCGCUGCCACAGUCCUUCCCUCCCCCUUCCCUCCUCUGCAUGCCCACUCCUUCUUUCAACUUACAGCGCCUGGAGACUGUCAGAAGAGCUGAGGACCCAAAACAAACUGACCUUGAGACAUGCGACUCUUCGCCCUCCUUCUGGUGACCCUAUUCUGCAGCGCAGAGGGCUCCAUCUACAUCCCUCAGAAGCUCUAUGGAGAGGUGACCUCCCCUCUCUAUCCCAAGCCUUACCCCAGUGACUUUGAGGAAACCACUGUGAUCACAGUCCCUGUGGGGUACAGGGUGAAGCUUGUCUUCUGGCAGUUUGAUUUGGAGCCUUCUGAAGGCUGUCUGUAUGACUAUGUCAAG